GCCGGACACGGUGGUACGUGCCUGUCACCCCAGCUACUCAGGAGGCUGAGGCAGGAGGAUCGCUUGAGCCCAGGAGUUCUGGGCUGUAGUGCACUAUGCCGAUCGGGUGUACGCUCUAAGUUCUGCAUCAAUCUGGUGACCUCCCGGGAGUGAGGGACCACCAGGUUGCCUAAGGAGGGGAACCAGCCCAGCUUGGAAAUGGAGCAGGUCAAAACUCCCGUGCUGAUAAGUGGUGGGAUCACGCCUGUGAAGAGCUGCUGGACUCCAGCCUGGGCAACAUAGCGAGACACCAUCUCUC
ensembl:misc_RNA Metazoa_SRP Metazoan signal recognition particle RNA